CUCAUUCUCCACUUUUAUUAUAGGGAACAUGGGUUUUAAAAAGAGAAUUGACAAUUUUUCUGUUUCUACUGCUUGUUCCCCACAUGAAGCAAUGAUUCUGUUAUGUGACAACUUCGGUCACAGUCAACUGUGAUGUCACAAACACCACAACUUCACAUAAGGAAUAAGCUUCAGAAACAGGGCAACUGUUGACCAUUUUGUUCACAUGAAAAAUAUCUCUAUGUGAUAAGUGAGGGAGGGAAUUAAGAAUUAUCUUCACUUAUUGUUAACAGGAACUGGGAACUGAACUGACACAACUGACUGAAAGAUUAUUUCCUCUCCAUUUUUCUCUCUAUUAAGGACUGCUUCUAACAGACUGCCACGUGUGAGAUUAACUAGCACUAACUACCUUUGAAGAAGAGGAGUCUGAAGAUAAAUUAAAAAAAAAAAGAAAAGACUGAAGUGCUGCUCUCCCCCAAAUUUGGGACCAGACCUACCUAAGUCUAAAGUUACGCAUGCAUACCAUGCCCCUGGAGCCAGAUAAUUUGAAAGUCGUGUCUGUUGGUCUGCGCAUGUGCCCUGAUUCACCUAGUGCCUCUGAUCGAUAGGAUAAAGGGCGGGGUGGACAUAUCAUCCCUCCGGUUCUCUCUCUACCACAAAUCAGAUAAGAUCCAAAGCGGAGAAGGACGGCAGGUACUGGAAUACAGAUAGGGAUCACACAUCUUCACGGCCCUCCAGUUAAAGGUAGAAAGCCAAAGCUCGAGGGAGUGGAGUCUUCAUUCUUCUGCAGAAGUGUGUGGCUUUGAGAAGAAAGCAGGUUCUUGCCUAGAGCUCAUAGCAGGAGGGUGGUGGAGAGAAGGCAUAGGUGAACGUGAUCUUAUCAAGUAAGAAGGAGACCAUCGCCCUGGGAGUGGUGACCUAGGGCUCCUCUAGAGCAAUACGUAGUGCAUUUACUGUUUACUUGAGAAGUGAAUAGAUCCCUGGUUG